CUUAUUUUUAUUGUUAGUGCUGAGCUCAGCUAUAUCUGUAAAUAUGCUGAUGCAGUAUCCUCAAAAUGUUUUGCUUUAUUUUGAGGAAGUGAUAUUUUAUAUUAAAUAACAUCCUUGCCCCAUGCUGUGAUAUUCAGUAUCCAGUUUUGGCUGAAGUGAAACUAUAUCACAAAAGGUAAGCUCCUGAUUAAUAUGUUAUUCGUUUUUAUUCAAUAUUUUUUGUAUUCUAGUUAAAGCUUUAUAUUUAAAUAAUAAAAAUGUAGUGGAUUUUUUUUUCUACAUACAGAUUUUAGUGUUUAUAAACGCUUACAAAAAGCUCCAAACCAUGAAGCUUUUUCAUAUUCUCUGUGUCGUGAUGGUGAGUAUGCCACUUGUCGUAACCAGUACCCAGUCGUGCCAACAUGCAGACAAAAAAAGUGGAUCUCCAGGUAAGGAUGGAUAUUAAGACUAAAAGCAUCCUCAUUUUUUUUAUUAAGGUGUAGGUAAUUGAUUCAUUAAUCUAUUGGGGAAUAUUUCACCCCAGUAAAUGGUGAGAUACUUUUGCCUGGGUUAAACACAAGGCAAUCACCACUAACAAAAACAUUUUUUUUUUUAAAUAGUCCAUUUCUGGGGAAGUAAUUUCCCCAAAUCAUUUGUAUUAAUAUGUAUAUAGUAAAAUGUAUUAUAUAUAGGAAUUUAAAAUUCGGAAGGUAUCUAAUUGUUAAACUUCUUGUUGCUUGAAUUAAAAAUACAUUUUGUAUCUAAGGGAGUAAAAUGAGGGCAAUGAUCACUAAAUGUUUGACAUAGAGCCUCAGCAUAUUGUACAAUUAUUUUUUUAUUUUUUUAUUUUUUUUGGGGGGGGCGGGGGGGGGUAUUCCCUUGCACUGGAAAAAAAGGGUAAGGUUUGCAGAGGAUGAAGAUGUCAGAUCUGUAUCCUUUUUCAAUGUGUUAUUCCACAUAUCUCCAAGGAAAACAUGCAGAAAAUAAACACAUGCAUUCUUUAGGUCUACUAAAGUUUUAAAAACAUUCAUAAUUAAAAAACACUCCAUAAUCAAUAUAGCUUGCUAGAAGUGCCCUGGUGCUAUUUUUGAAUGCUGAGAAUUCUUACCUGGGGUCUCCACCUCAGCUUCCAAUGCUGCUGAGCUGGAAGUUGCUAAGCAGGAACUGUGUGCCACCUGUGUGUGCCCAUUGUAUAUUUAUGCUGUUCAAGGUAUGGGAGGGAGUCUGGUACUUAUUGAAUCUGAUAUAUAUGAGAAGGGGGCAUACUACCACAUGCAUGGUUCUUGAGAAAGGCCAGAGGCUGAAAAAGUUGGGUGUCAAGUGUGCCAUGCCCUGAGCUCUUGUACAUAAGGAAGGUUGAACAUUGCUUCCAGCUUCUGGUAAUAGAUAUCUAUUUAUUGAUUUAUUGACCGUCAGUUACUUCUUGCCUUAAAGGUUUGGAUGAGUUAAAUCCUAAACGAGAAUCUUUGGAGCAAGAACUUAGAUGUUUGCAAUCCAGUGUAGCUGCACUGAAAAAUGGUGAGUAAUGUAAAAACAUUUUAUAUGCUGUACAGUAUUAUUUAUAGCUGCAUACAGCUUAAAAGUCACAAAAUAGUCCACAUACACAGAGAGCCAU
rnacentral:lncRNA from 1 species